rnacentral:lncRNA from 1 species
UAGAGAAACGCAGAGAAAAAUAAAAAAAAAUAACAAAUAGUGAAUCACCUCUUUUUUUUUUUGAACUGUUUAUCGUUCUCUUUUUCUUUAUUCUUUUUUUCAAAAUCGGAUCUCCUUUUACAGUGUUGGAAUCGGUCUUUUAUAACCGAAUCCAAGAAAAUAAAAUAAAAAUAAUCAAAAUCCCCCAAAAAUCUCAUCUGCUCCCCCUUAUUUCUUUUCUUUCCUUGCCCUUUGUUUUCUCCCUUU